rnacentral:rRNA from 1 species
GACGAACGCUGGCGGCGUGCCUAAUACAUGCAAGUAGAACGCUGAGGUUUGGUGUUUACACUAGACUGAUGAGUUGCGAACGGGUGAGUAACGCGUAGGUAACCUGCCUCAUAGCGGGGGAUAACUAUUGGAAACGAUAGCUAAUACCGCAUAAGAGUAAUUAACACAUGUUGGUUAUUUAAAAGGAGCAAUUGCUUCACUGUGAGAUGGACCUGCGUUGUAUUAGCUAGUUGGUGAGGUAAAGGCUCACCAAGGCGACGAUACAUAGCCGACCUGAGAGGGUGAUCGGCCACACUGGGACUGAGACACGGCCCAGACUCCUACGGGAGGCAGCAGUAGGGAAUCUUCGGCAAUGGACGGAAGUCUGACCGAGCAACGCCGCGUGAGUGAAGAAGGUUUUCGGAUCGUAAAGCUCUGUUGUUAGAGAAGAACGUUGGUAGGAGUGGAAAAUCUACCAAGUGACGGUAACUAACCAGAAAGGGACGGCUAACUACGUGCCAGCAGCCGCGGUAAUACGUAGGUCCCGAGCGUUGUCCGGAUUUAUUGGGCGUAAAGCGAGCGCAGGCGGUUCUUUAAGUCUGAAGUUAAAGGCAGUGGCUUAACCAUUGUACGCUUUGGAAACUGGAGGACUUGAGUGCAGAAGGGGAGAGUGGAAUUCCAUGUGUAGCGGUGAAAUGCGUAGAUAUAUGGAGGAACACCGGUGGCGAAAGCGGCUCUCUGGUCUGUAACUGACGCUGAGGCUCGAAAGCGUGGGGAGCAAACGGGAUUAGAUACCCUGGUAGUCCACGCCGUAAACGAUGAGUGCUAGGUGUUAGGCCCUUUCCGGGGCUUAGUGCCGCAGCUAACGCAUUAAGCACUCCGCCUGGGGAGUACGACCGCAAGGUUGAAACUCAAAGGAAUUGACGGGGGCCCGCACAAGCGGUGGAGCAUGUGGUUUAAUUCGAAGCAACGCGAAGAACCUUACCAGGUCUUGACAUCCUUCUGACCGGCCUAGAGAUAGGCUUUCUCUUCGGAGCAGAAGUGACAGGUGGUGCAUGGUUGUCGUCAGCUCGUGUCGUGAGAUGUUGGGUUAAGUCCCGCAACGAGCGCAACCCCUAUUGUUAGUUGCCAUCAUUAAGUUGGGCACUCUAGCGAGACUGCCGGUAAUAAACCGGAGGAAGGUGGGGAUGACGUCAAAUCAUCAUGCCCCUUAUGACCUGGGCUACACACGUGCUACAAUGGUUGGUACAACGAGUCGCAAGCCGGUGACGGCAAGCUAAUCUCUUAAAGCCAAUCUCAGUUCGGAUUGUAGGCUGCAACUCGCCUACAUGAAGUCGGAAUCGCUAGUAAUCGCGGAUCAGCACGCCGCGGUGAAUACGUUCCCGGGCCU